AGUGAACGCUGGCGGUAGGCCUAACACAUGCAAGUCGAACGGCAGCACAGUAAGAGCUUGCUCUUACGGGUGGCGAGUGGCGGACGGGUGAGGAAUACAUCGGAAUCUACUUUUUCGUGGGGGAUAACGUAGGGAAACUUACGCUAAUACCGCAUACGACCUACGGGUGAAAGCAGGGGAUCUUCGGACCUUGCGCGAUUGCAUGAGCCGAUGUCGGAUUAGCUAGUUGGCGGGGUAAAGGCCCACCAAGGCGACGAUCCGAAGCUGGUCUGAGAGGAUGAUCAGCCACACUGGAACUGAGACACGGUCCAGACUCCUACGGGAGGCAGCAGUGGGGAAUAUUGGACAAUGGGCGCAAGCCUGAUCCAGCCAUACCGCGUGGGUGAAGAAGGCCUUCGGGUUGUAAAGCCCUUUUGUUGGGAAAGAAAAGCAGCAGGUUAAUACCCCGCUGUUCUGACGGUACCCAAAGAAUAAGCACCGGCUAACUUCGUG
rnacentral:rRNA from 1 species